rnacentral:rRNA from 1 species
AGUGAACGCUGGCGGUAGGCCUAACACAUGCAAGUCGAACGGCAGCACAUUAAGAGCUUGCUCUUACGGGUGGCGAGUGGCGGAUGGGUGAGGAAUACAUCGGAAUCUACAUUUUCGUGGGGGAUAACGUAGGGAAACUUACGAUAAUACCGCAUACGACCUACGGGUGAAAGCAGGGGAUCUUCGGACCUUGCGCGAUUGAAUGAGCCGAUGUCGGAUUUGCUAGUUGGCGGGGUAAAGGCCCACCAAGGCGACGAUCCGUAGCUGGUCUGAGAGGAUGAUCAGCCACACUGGAACUGAGACACGGUCCAGACUCCUACGGGAGGCAGCAGUGGGGAAUAUUGGACAAUGGGCGCAAGCCUGAUCCAGCCAUACCGCGUGGGUGAAGAAGGCCUUCGGGUUGUAAAGCCCUUUUGUUGGGAAAGAAAAGCAGCAGGUUAAUACCCCGCUGUUCUGACGGUACCCAAAGAAUAAGCACCGGCUAACUUCGUG